rnacentral:lncRNA from 1 species
GGGACAGGACGCGCUGUCCCCGGAGUCCGGAGCUCAGGCCAGUGGCAGUCGACCCAGCCCCCGAGACUCCCUCACGCCGCUCCAAAACCAAAACGGAGCCCAACACGAAGCUGGGUGAAGCCGUAGCUUGCAGGAGCCAGGGAGAUGCGCUCUGCCCGGGACUUCCCGGGUCCUGUUGAGACGGAAAGGAUCGCAGGGAAGACAGGAUAAUUGGUCUUUAACUCUGACCGUUACCUUCGAAAUUGCACCUUACAAGCAUGUCCUCUAUUUCCGUGGCUUGAUGGGGACACUUUCUCUGAUUAAGAUCCGGAAUAAUCACCCACCCAAUGGGAUCUCUUAGAGGGAAGCGCUGGUUAGAAUCCCUCCAGGCUGAGAUGCAAUCAUCGCCAUUGAGCCUGCCCUCCCCUAGGGAAACCCCACAAAACCAUCCUGAGAAUCUCAGCCCUCUUUGGUCGGUACCUGAGACUGCAUAGACCUAAACUGAAAGGUGAUCGAAGGGGAGGAGCAGUUGCUCGUGCGGAGGAAGCUCUUGGGGCCGAAGUGGCCCCGGCCGAGAAAGGGAAGAAAACUGAAACGGGCCUCUUGGUCUGCAGUUUUAGCGGAGUCGGGAUUCCACAGCCCUGAGUGGCACAUGCCGGUCAACUUCCCAAAGUCGGGCUCCCGUGUGGGGAGAAAUACACACGCAGGAAUGCACAAGCAUCGCGUGUUCGCAACUGUCGCUGGGAGGUCUGGCGGCUGUGAUGGGACAUGCACUCACUCGGGCAACACGUCCACAGGUGACAUCUAUUCGAUCAGUCAACAGAUAUUUAUUGCGCACCUACGACGCUAUCUGGUACUUUCCUUUUCCCCUUAGCUGUUGCUGUCCAGCCCAGCGCCAGUCCAGAGACGGGCUUACCGGCCGCUCCCUUCCACAAGAAACUCGUGUCCGGCGUGAAGAGCGGACGAUAAACACUCUCCAAGCCCAGCGAAAUGUACUAAUUACAGGAGCGGCUGGGAGCCCGCGACACGGGGACCUGUCCCUCCAGGGAUAGGAGUCUUCUACCUGCAAGGGACCCGGCCUGGGGAACUGGAAUAGACAAGGGGUAACCCCUUCUCCCAUCACCUCUAAUGAGAACAUUGUCCGGGGCUGAGAUAUUUGGGGGACGCCGCUGCUCACCCCACCAAACUUUCCCUAGGGACAGAAAAGCGUCCCUACCGAAAACGGAUUUAAACACCGUCCCCACUUUUGCUAAGGAAGUUUGGAUAGGGAGGUUGUGGUCCUUAAUUCGCCAGGUAAAAGGAACCCCAUCAGCUCGCAUCCCUCACCCCCAUCCUGAGCACUGAGUGUUUGCGAGAAACUCGCCCUGCGCCAGCAACUCUGGGCUCCGGUCUCAGCUCCCGCGUAGACGCGGAGGAGAGAUUGGCGGCCCCCGCUGGGGAAAUUGAGCCCGGCGCCGGUCCGGGACGUGCAAGAGGGGGAAAGGGGGAGAUCCCAGACCUCGGUUUCCCGAGGGCUUCCCUGGGGAGCCACUCGCACCUCUGUGUCUCCGCUCCCGGCGGCAGACCUCGCGGCGCUUGCUCAAGAGCGGGUAUCCGAAAGCACGUCCCGAACACGGAGAAGCGCCCUCCGUCUCCUGCCUCGUGACCUGCGCCCUUUCCCUCCCUCACCGCAUCAGAUGGAGGACCCUGGCUCCUUUCGCCCCUGGCAAAAUGCUCUAGCCAACACUGGGUCAACAGCCUUAGUUUCCAGAUCUGUAACCUGAACAUCAGGAGCGGGUUCCUUUCCUUCUACCUGUGUCUGAGGUCCUCUGGUCGGGGACUGCGCGCGUCUUCCCAGGUCAGGGAGGAGGGGUCGGGGCGACCUGAGAAAGACACAACGAAGCGAAUGGAGCCCCUGAAUGGGGAAAGGGGAGUGGACACCAGGAGGCCCCUGCAGAAAUGCAGGACCGAUCCACUCGCGAGCUGACAAUGCCACGCGCUAGACUUGGCCUGACGGUGGCAACGCUUGGCACCUGGGGGAUAGGGGCCUUCUCCUGGCCUCAGUCCCCAAAUUCUGCGCAGAAUAGAACGGCUGGCAUCUCAAGUGCUCUUUUUUCACCCGGAUCUCUACAGACACAAGUUCCCUCACUGAGCUGCGCAGAGGUGGAUCCGCACAGGAGGGAAUAUCGCGUAGGAAUUCCUGCAAAUAUAAAUCUCAGCAGCAAAGCAGUCCAGAUUGACUGGAACACACCACCCCCAGCCACCACCAUCCAAGUUUUCCCUGGUUCUCGGAGUUGGAAACAGUUUCUGGGCUUUUGGCGCCCCCUCUGGAUACAGAUGAAAACUGCAGUCCAUUUUUAAGUCGCCUGUUCAUAAGUUUUCAGGAAGAUGUAAAAUUCAAAAAUGCUUGCAUCAAAUCAACGGGAAAUGUAUAAAUCCCCGUCGUUUAUGAUGUAAAACUCUACAUAUUAGUAUCUUAUUGCAUAAUUGCAUUAAAAGUAUAUUUAUACAUA